CAUAAGUUUUAAGUGACUGUCACUUGAAAUUCCUCUGAAAAUCCACUUACUUCGCCGCUCACUUCAAUUUCAUUACAUUCUCACUUAAAAUUCACUUGACCCGUCACUUAAUUGUCAAAUUCACUUGAUCGGUCACUUAAAAUUGAAAUGAAUGUACAGGUAGCGAAUGACAGCCAUGUUGUGAAAGAUUGUUUUUAUUAUGGAAACAUAACAGAAUUGUGUAUGAGCUGGUAGGUGCAGAAAAAGAGUCAUUUAUAUAAGUUUCAUAACAAUUAUAUACUUCCAGAGCCCGAGAAAAAUAUCCUGUGAGGCGGAUAAUAUGUCGUAGUGCAACUAUUCAUCCGAAUGAGGGGCCAAAAUAUGAAUCGGCAGAAGUUGUAACUUCUACAGAGCAACUAUGAAUAAAUUGGCCAUGGUGGGAAAUCUUUGUUGGAUGUUUCGGAAAUGCUUCCCGAUGGUAUUUUUAUUCUGAAAUUUUCAAGAACAGUGCAAAUAAAAAAAAAAUCAACCUAAAUUUUGGGAAAAAAUCGAAAAAGUAAAUGAGUAUCUCAAGCCAAAACUUUAAUUUGAACUCAUCAAUAAAUUU